rnacentral:rRNA from 1 species
CUUGCUGGGUGGAUUAGUGGCGAACGGGUGAGUAACACGUGAGUAACCUGCCCUUGACUCUGGGAUAAGCCCGGGAAACUGGGUCUAAUACCGGAUAGGAGCGCCUGUCGCAUGACGGGUGUUGGAAAGAUUUUUCGGUCAUGGAUGGACUCGCGGCCUAUCAGCUUGUUGGUGAGGUAAUGGCUCACCAAGGCGACGACGGGUAGCCGGCCUGAGAGGGUGACCGGCCACACUGGGACUGAGACACGGCCCAGACUCCUACGGGAGGCAGCAGUGGGGAAUAUUGCACAAUGGGCGGAAGCCUGAUGCAGCGACGCCGCGUGAGGGAUGACGGCCUUCGGGUUGUAAACCUCUUUCAGUAGGGAAGAAGCGAAAGUGACGGUACCUGCAGAAGAAGCACCGGCUAACUACGUGCCAGCAGCCGCGGUAAUACGUAGGGUGCGAGCGUUAUCCGGAAUUAUUGGGCGUAAAGAGCUCGUAGGCGGUUUGUCGCGUCUGUCGUGAAAGUCCGGGGCUUAACCCCGGAUCUGCGGUGGGUACGGGCAGACUAGAGUGCAGUAGGGGAGACUGGAAUUCCUGGUGUAGCGGUGGAAUGCGCAGAUAUCAGGAGGAACACCGAUGGCGAAGGCAGGUCUCUGGGCUGUAACUGACGCUGAGGAGCGAAAGCAUGGGGAGCGAACAGGAUUAGAUACCCUGGUAGUCCAUGCCGUAAACGUUGGGCACUAGGUGUGGGGACCAUUCCACGGUUUCCGCGCCGCAGCUAACGCAUUAAGUGCC